CCCUUACUAAAAGUCAUUGCACUUUAAGGGUUAUAGGGCUGCUGUCAGGCUGCUCUUAAUGCAUAGAAAAUCCUGCUAUUUCACAGGCCCUGAUGUUAAUUACAUCAGCUGUAAUUGUUCAGAGCCAGAGCCUCCUCACCGCAUCUUUACUGUGUCAAUAAACACAGGUUUCAGCAGUGGCUUAGAGGAGAAGGGGGUGACCAGGGAGGGUCUGCAUGGCCCUGGGUAGAUGCAGAAGACAAGGAGCAAGGCCAGAAGUUUUCAGCGAUGCUGGCUGGUGGCAGUGGUCCGACAUUUAUUUUUAUCUGGGUCCUGGGUGGAGGUAUCAAAAACUUCUGCUGGUGAAUGGCACUUCUGCUCCAAUACUGAUAUUCCCACCUGUAGGAAGUGGUGAGAGUGAAGAAUAUCUUAAAUAAUGUCUGUGGCCCACAACAAUAUACAAAGAUUUUCCUUGGACUCACAGGCAAGCAGCGAAAAUGGCACAUUUUGCUGGUACAAAUAGCCAUGAUCUUUGUUAUCUGUACAGAAAGGAGACUCAGGGCAGAACAAAAAGGGGGUCUGACACCCCCUCAUAUGUCACCUAUGAACUUUAUAGUUAGAAUUAAGUGGGUUGUUACCCACUGAGCUACCCAUCCCCUUCCCAGACCACUUUUUAAUGUGUGUUUGGGAUAUGAGUUUGCACAUUGAGUUCAAACCUCUGUAGCCAUACACAGGUUGGGAAUACCUAACCUGAGGUAAAAAAGGAUUGAGGGCUAGUGUUUCUUAUGUUUGUUUGUUCCGUUUCAUAUACCCGAGAUCCUGGCUCCAGCUAGACGUCCACCUGAAUUACGGGUCACCUUAGUCCGAUUAUCAUUUUUAGUCACUGAGAAAUGGAGGAAAUAAGGGAAGAAACAAUAUUUUGUCACAAGGCUUCAGAAAUCAGCAGUUUCUUCAUACCAAUGGAAGAAGUGGAGAGGAUGCUGAUGUAUCUUAUUACAGUCAUAGGAAAAGUAAAUCAUUUUGGUGAAGACUGGCAUCAGAAGAACACUGCAGGCCUCACAACACAGAAGUUUACCUAAGAAAUAACGUCAUAUAUCGUUAUUCACCAUAAAUGCCGCAGGAAGAAGUUCACAAAUACCACUCUUGUAUUUUGGCGGAGCUGCACGGUUCCCUUGCCGAGUGUGGCUACUGUGCUCUGGCAUGGAGACGAAAAGGUGGGGAACUGCCAUGGGUGUUUCUGGCAGCUGCAAGGAGGUGGCUAGAGUCUGUUUGUACAGGGACUCGCAAGGAACUUUAAUGUGAGAGCUACUUCUCCCAGGGAUGUAAUGGGAAUUUGUGGCAAUAAAAUGUGGCCUCAGGAGGGCCA
rnacentral:lncRNA from 1 species